rnacentral:rRNA from 1 species
CCAUGCCGCGUGAGUGAWGAAGGCCUUAGGGUCGUAAAGCUCUUUCGCCAGGGAUGAUAAUGACAGUACCUGGUAAAGAAACCCCGGCUAACUCCGUGCCAGCAGCCGCGGUAAUACGGAGGGGGUUAGCGUUGUUCGGAAUUACUGGGCGUAAAGCGCACGUAGGCGGAUUAGAAAGUUAGAGGUGAAAUCCCAGGGCUCAACCCUGGAACUGCCUUUAAAACUCCUAGUCUUGAGUUCGAKAGAGGUGAGURGAAUUYCAAGUGUAGCGGUGAAAUUCGUAGAUAUUCUGGAGGAACACCAGUGGCGAAGGCGGCUCACUGGCUCGAUACUGACGCUGAGGURCGAAAGYGUGGGGAGCAAACAGGAUUAGAUACCCUGGUAGUCCACACCGUAAACGAUGUAU